AAGUAUCGUUUUUUUAAAGCAAAUCUCCGAGACGACCAAUUUUUUGUCUUUCGAUA
rnacentral:tRNA from 1 species